GUAGGGAAUAUUGCGCAAUGGACGAAAGUCUGACGCAGCGACGCCGCGUGAGUGAUGAAGGCCUUAGGGUCGUAAAGCUCUGUUGAAUGGGAAGAAAAAAAUGACGGUACCAUUCGAGGAAGGACCGGCUAACUUCGUGCCAGCAGCCACGGUAAUACGAGGGGUCCUAGCGUUGUUCGGAAUCAUUGGGCGUAAAGGGUGUGUAGGUGGCCAUGUAAGUCAGGUGUGAAAGCCCCGGGCUCAACCCGGGAAGUGCACUUGAUACUGCGUGGCUUGAGUACCGAAGAGGGUAGUGGAAUUCCAGGUGUAGUGGUGAAAUACGUAGAUAUCUGGAGGAACACCGGUGGCGAAGGCGGCUACCUGGUCGAGUACUGACACUGAGACACGAAAGCAUGGGGAUCAAACAGGAUUAGAAACCCGGGUAGUCC
rnacentral:rRNA from 1 species